rnacentral:rRNA from 1 species
CCUACGGGAGGCAGCAGUAGGGAAUCUUCCACAAUGGGCGAAAGCCUGAUGGAGCAACGCCGCGUGGGUGAAGAAGGUCUUCGGAUCGUAAAACCCUGUUGUUAGAGAAGAAAGUGCGUGAGAGUAACUGUUAACGUUUCGACGGUAUCUAACCAGAAAGCAACGGCUAACUACGUGCCAGCAGCCGCGGUAAUACGUAGGGGGCAAGCGUUAUCCGGAUUUAUUGGGCGUAAAGGGAACGCAGGCGGUCUUUUAAGUCUGAUGUGAAAGCCUUCGGCUGAACCGGAGGAGUGCAUUGGAAACGGGGAGACAUGAGUGCAGAAGAGGAGAGUGGAACUCCAUGGGUAGCGGUGAAAUGCGUAGAUAUAUGGAGGAACACCAGUGGCGAAGGCGGCUCUCUGGUCUGUAACUGACGCUGAGGUUCGAAAGCGUGGGUAGCAAACAGGAUUAGAGACCCCAGUAGUC